CCGCGACCCCAGGUCAGACGGGAUUACCCGCUGAGUUUAAGCAUAUC
rnacentral:rRNA from 1 species